UACGUAGGGGGCGAGCGUUGUCCGGAAUUAUUGGGCGUAAAGAGCUCGUAGGCGGUUUGGUAAGUCGGGUGUGAAAUCUCAGGGCUCAACUCUGAAACUGCACCUGAUACUGUCAGACUUGAGGCAGGUAGGGGAGAUCGGAAUUCCUGGUGUAGCGGUGAAAUGCGCAGAUAUCAGGAGGAACACCGGUGGCGAAGGCGGAUCUCUGGGCCUGUUCUGACGCUGAGGAG
rnacentral:rRNA from 1 species